AAAAUUGUUUCAGUGAAAUGUUCUAACUAAAAAUAAAUAAAUAAUAAAAAUAAAAAGAUAAGUUUUAUUGGCUUAAUACCCUAUUUUGUCUCCAGUUUCACUUGAAAAUGUCAAAUUAGUCCAUCCUUUAAAAAGUGGGUCAAUUACUAAUGGAAAAGAUUUCAUUGAUAUAAAUUUUAUUAGUUAAGGACGUAAUUGACGUACUUUUUAAAGGAUGAACUAAUUUGACAUUUUCGAGCGAAACUGGAGACAAAAUAGGAUAUUAAGCCAAAAUUAUUAAUUAACAUACAUAAUUUUUUUUUGACAUUGUGAAUGUGAAGGGCACACCUUUCGCACACCAUGGCGGAACCCACCAACCGGAAUCAGAACAGGAGUUGUCUGAGAGUUCUGAAUCCGCAACCGGAAUCAGAACAGGAGUUGUCUGAGAGUUCUGAAUCCGCCAUCGUUGACUCAGCACACCAUGACGGAACCCACCGAACCGGAAUCAGAACGGGAGUUGUCGAGAGUUAUGAACCCGCCGACGUUGAUUCAACAUUGAAUGGUGAGCCAAACCAGAAGCGAAGUAGAGAUAACCACCAUGACGAAAUAGACUGUGUGUCGAAGAAGCAGAAGCUAGAGCAGAAGAGGAAAGGGAACAUUUAAACAGAGAGGAUGAAGAAGAGAAGAAACCCUCGGGUCUGGUGAAAUUAGGUUUCAUAAGUUUCCCGUCCUUCCGUGGAAAGUGGCAGCAAGCAUGUCAAAGUUCGACAUGUCUGAUGCAGAUUGAGCUGAUAAAUGGUGCUCCAGAUCAAGGUGUUCAAUGGCCUGACUUCCCAAUUACUCAGCAAGAGCACGGUGAAGGAAUUCAAAUUCUCCAUUACGAAGUUGGACAAGAGUAUGUGGCUCAUCCGUGCCUUGGUGGAAUGAGCUUUCUGAUUGUGGAAAAAAAGGACUUUCAAUUAAGCCAAAGAUGGGGAAUGCUUUACUUUUCUGGAGCAUGAGGCCUGAUGCAACUUUCAAGCUUUCAGGCACGUUGGGUUACGUAGCCCCAGAGUAUCUUUUAGAUGGAUCCGAUGGUCUCAAAAAUGAUAAUAGCUUCCAGUCAACUUGGGUGUUCAAAGGAGAUAAUCACCAUUGCUGUUGUUCUUUCCGUCCAAUCCAUCUGGAUCUCAGAGAGAGAUACAAAAGGAAUCUGAUGAAGCAAAAUUGAGAUUUGCUGCUGCCGAGAGAAACGUUCUUGAAGUUAGAGAGCAACUCAAAAGAACUGCAAAGAGGAUAGGACUAGUCUUGAAAUCUUGUGAAAGUGAUAUGCGGGCAGUUUGAAAAAUCAGCUGACCCGGAGCUUCCUGGGCAUCUUCUACUGGAACAGUAUCAGAUACUAACAAGUGGAAUCAUCAGUGGAGAUCAAGUGGUGGUCAAGCGCAUAUUCUCGUUAAUUUCUCGACCAUUUUUCCAAAAAAGCUCAAAUAUUCUGGGAAAGUACUGGAUCCAUACAUUGAAAGAUUAUAGUUAUAUAUGCUUAUGCCUAAGCCCAAAGAGGAAGGUGUGCCAGAAUUUUUUCUGGGAAUUUCAUUUUGUUUAUUCAA